CGGUAGCAAUACGUCAGCGGCAGACGGGUGAGUAACGCGUGGGAACGUACCUUUUGGUUCGGAACAACACAGGGAAACUUGUGCUAAUACCGGAUAAGCCCUUACGGGGAAAGAUUUAUCGCCGAAAGAUCGGCCCGCGUCUGAUUAGCUAGUUGGUAGGGUAAUGGCUUACCAAGGCGACGAUCAGUAGCUGGUCUGAGAGGAUGAUCAGCCACAUUGGGACUGAGACACGGCCCAA
rnacentral:rRNA from 1 species